GUACAGCUCAAUGGUAAAGCAAUUGGCUGGCAUGCACAAGGCCCCGGGUUCAAUUCCCAGCACUGUAUA
rnacentral:tRNA from 1 species